AGUCUCACUGCUCUUCGUAACACAAGUAGGGCUUCCUCUUCAGGGUUCUGAGCGUGUCUGCAUGUAGAGGUAAUGAUGCUCUAACCAGCAAGCAAACAUGAAGAGCUAGGCCAUGAAAAGGUAGAAAAGGACACCAGCAUCAGAAGAGUCGUCUUGGUUCUCAACAAUGUCAAGAACCUUUCCGUGUCCGCUCUGAGUUCUCUAACAUGAGGCAUGUGGUGUUCAAAGUCGGCAUCUUGAUGGACAACAGUGAGAAGCCUGUGAUGUUGGAAGUGAGUCAACACCCAUGAGACUGGUCUAGAGGAUCUGCGCCAUGAAGUGAUGCCCACAGCCUCUCCAGCCCUCAUAAGACCUUGGCUGGACUCUUCCUGUAGCCAAGCGGCCUCUGUAAUCAAAGCUUUACCCUAGGCUUGGGCUUGCUCAUGCAACAGUGCACCAUGUUUGUGCAGGAGUCGGCAGAACUCCGAAGAAGCCGUGGAUCCCAGGGAACUGAAGUUCAAAUGGCCAUGACCAUGGGGGUGCUGGGAACUGAAUCCAGCCAGGUCCUCUGCAAGAGCAGUAGACACUCUAACCAAUCCCAGAGACUGAUGUCUGCUCCUGCCGCUGACCUCCUUUCUCUCUGAGCAUACAGGCCUCUAAUAACACCAUCAACCCAAGUGGGUGCCUCCUGGGGGACAGGAGACCGGAACAGUACACCCUUUUAAGGAGCUGGGUUAGCCAUUCCAUACAAGGGUUAAGAGGACUUCAGCUAAAGCCUGUUUGAACUUGGAAACCCUCUCUUGAAAUCCCAACGGAAAGGUGUUUCCAUUUUCACAGUGAACUUUGCUCUACACAUUCUCACUCUGAGAGUUAAAAGAAGAGGUUAAAAGAUAGCUCAGUCUGUAAACUGAAUGCAUGAAGCUUGAUCCUCAGAACCUACUCAAAAUUACAAAAUUAAACAGCU